rnacentral:lncRNA from 1 species
UGCACUCGAACAAGGAAGUUUCCAAGAAAAGGGCACCAAAGUUUAUAUUUAGAUCUUUUCCAGGCAUAGACCAUAGUAAUGCAGAUAUAAAAAUUGUAGAGUUCUUUUAUUAGUUCUCAGAUGAAAUAGACAUGCGAAAUGUAAUAAUGGUGAUAAGCUGAUGACAUCUAUUCUUACCCAAAAAUAUUCACUUAAGAUAUUGGCAGGUUAAGAAAAGGAUAGGCUAGUGGAGAGCAAUAUUUGGUUUUAACCAAAAAACCGAUAAAACCAGCCCAUUAAGUUCUUCGGUUUUGGUUAGUAGAGGGGGCAGGUUGGUCAGUUUUGACCUCAGUUUAAUUGGUUAAUUCAAUCGUUCAUCGGUUUUUGCAUCCUAGAACCAAACCAACCGAAAAACCAACUGAUUUUAUAUUAUUUUUAAAUUAUUUAAAAUAUAUAUUUAUGUUUUAUAAUAUAUAUAAUAGACAUUAAUCAUAUAAACCUAACCCAAUAACCCUUGACCCAAUCAAAUUACCCAAGGUCGGUUCAGUUUAGUUAGUUUUCAAAACUAAAAUCGGUUAGGUCGGUUUUCUCAUGUUAAAAUCAGCUAAGUUCGAAAAAAACUCAUACAAAACCAUCCAAUUAAACCAAUUGAUCUCCCCUAGGAGAGGCUAGCCUCCUUUGAAACUCAUUUCCCUAGGCGGAAACUACUAGGCCUUUACACCCAGCCCCCAAAAAUAAUAGUCUUCUGAAGAAUAACACAAAGUCGUUGCGUUAAUGUUUGUAUAUGACAUCAUGAUUACCUACAUUAUUAAGCAGAUGAUAUACAUUAUGAUCACUAGCAACGCCUAAAACUGCACUCAGAAUCACACCACCAUAAAUUCAUACCGUGAAAUCAUGAUCAAGAAUUUAAAUGGCGACCACCACAAGACCUAAACACGUUCGAAAUUCAUAAGUUCAAUCACUGUUAGAUGCUCGUAAAAAACAAGGGUCUAUGUCCAUUAGAUGCUCGUAAAAAACAAGGGUCUAUGUCCAUCUUAGAGCAGAAGAAAACCCAACAGUGAAUCUCAUUCCAAAGUAGUAUCCUGUCGUUAAUUUUUAUACUAGACGAAAUUAGCAUGAAUUUACUAACCUAGGCCAAAUCAACAAACAGUUUCUAAACUAUAUUAGUAUUGUAACAAUAGCUACGUUAAAGGAAGUAAAAUUUCCAACUUCUAAAUAAAUAGAUAGA